UGGGGAAUUUUGGACAAUGGGGGAAACCCUGAUCCAGCCAUCCCGCGUGUGCGAUGAAGGCCUUCGGGUUGUAAAGCACUUUUGGCAGGAAAGAAACGUCAUGGGUUAAUACCCCGUGAAACUGACGGUACCUGCAGAAUAAGCACCGGCUAACUACGUGCCAGCAGCCGCGGUAAUACGUAGGGUGCAAGCGUUAAUCGGAAUUACUGGGCGUAAAGCGUGCGCAGGCGGUUCGGAAAGAAAG
rnacentral:rRNA from 1 species